AUGAACCUUCUAUUGAUUUUCCUUUUCAUGCUGCAGGCCCUUUCAGGGGCUGCGGCUCAGGCCCAGCUGGUGGAGUCCGGAGGAGAUACCAAGAAGCCCGGAGAAUCUCUGCGCCUCACCUGCAAAGGCUCCGGAUUCGAUUUCAGCCAGUUCGGUUUACACUGGGUCCGACAAGCUCCCGGGAAGGGGCUGGAGUGGGUCUCUGUGAUAUACUACGAUGGGAGUCAGGAGUAUUACGCGGAGUCUGUCAAGGGGCGAUUCACCACUUCCAGGGACAACUCCCUGAGCCAGGCCUAUUUAGACAUGAGCAGCCUGAAGCCAGAGGACACCGCCCGGUAUUACU